rnacentral:rRNA from 1 species
UACAGAGGGUGCGAGCGUUAAUCGGAAUUACUGGGCGUAAAGCGUGCGUAGACGGUUCUGUAAGUCGGAUGUGAAAUCCCCGGGCUCAACCUGGGAAUUGCAUUCGAGACUGCAAAGCUUGGGUGCGGAAGAGGGAAGCGGAAUUUCCGGUGUAGCGGUGAAAUGCGUAGAUAUCAGGAAGAACACCCGUGGCUAAGGCGGCUCUCUAGUACGGUACUGACGCUGAGACGCGAAAGCGUGGGGAGCGAACAGG